UUUUAAUUAUUAUAUAAAAAUAAUCUUAUCUGGUAAAAGCGAAUGAUUAGAGGGCCUUAGGGUCGAAAACGAUCUUAACCUAUUCUCAAACUUUAAAUGGGUAAGAACCUUAACUUUCUUGAUAUGAAGUUCAAGGUUAUGAUAUAAUGUGCCCAGUGGGCCACUUUUGGUAAGCAGAACUGGCGCUGUGGGAUGAACCAAACGUAAUGUUACGGUGCCCAAAUUAACAACUCAUGCAGAUACCAUGAAAGGCGUUGGUUGCUUAAACAGCAGGACGGUGAUCAUGGAAGUCGAAAUCCGCUAAGGAGUGUGUAACAACUCACCUGCCGAAGCAACUAGCCCUUAAAAUGGAUGGCGCUUAAGUUGUAUACCUAUACAUUACCGCUAAAGUAGAUGAUUUAUAUUACUUGUGAUAUAAAUUUUGAAACUUUAGUGAGUAGGAAGGUACAAUGGUAUGCGUAGAAGUGUUUGGCGUAAGCCUGCAUGGAGCUGCCAUUGGUACAGAUCUUGGUGGUAGUAGCAAAUAAUCGAAUGAGACCUUGGAGGACUGAAGUGGAGAAGGGUUUCGUGUGAACAGUGGUUGAUCACGAGUUAGUCGGUCCUAAGUUCAAGGCGAAAGCCGAAAAUUUUCAAGUAAAACAAAAAUGCCUAACUAUAUAAACAAAGCGAAUAUAAUACACUUGAAUAAUUUUGAACGAAAGGGAAUACGGUUCCAAUUCCGUAACCUGUUGAGUAUCCGUUUGUUAUUAAAUAUGGGCCUCGUGCUCAUCCUGGCAACAGGAACGACCAUAAAGAAGCCGUCGAGAGAUAUCGGAAGAGUUUUCUUUUCUGUUUUAUAGCCGUACUACCAUGGAAGUCUUUCGCAGAGAGAUAUGGUAGAUGGGCUAGAAGAGCAUGACAUAUACUGUUGUGUCGAUAUUUUCUCCUCGGACCUUGAAAAUUUAUGGUGGGGACACGCAAACUUCUCAACAGGCCGUACCAAUAUCCGCAGCUGGUCUCCAAGGUGAAGAGUCUCUAGUCGAUAGAAUAAUGUAGGUAAGGGAAGUCGGCAAAUUAGAUCCGUAACUUCGGGAUAAGGAUUGGCUCUGAAGAUUGAGAUAGUCGGGCUUGAUUGGGAAACAAUAACAUGGUUUAUGUGCUCGUUCUGGGUAAAUAGAGUUUCUAGCAUUUAUGUUAGUUACUUGUUCCCCGGAUAGUUUAGUUACGUAGCCAAUUGUGGAACUUUCUUGCUAAAAUUUUUAAGAAUACUAUUUGGGUUAAACCAAUUAGUUCUUAUCAAUUAUAACGAUUAUCAAUUAACAAUCAAUUCAGAACUGGCACGGACUUGGGGAAUCCGACUGUCUAAUUAAAACAAAGCAUUGUGAUGGCCCUAGCGGGUGUUGACACAAUGUGAUUUCUGCCCAGUGCUCUGAAUGUCAAAGUGAAGAAAUUCAAGUAAGCGCGGGUCAACGGCGGGAGUAACUAUGACUCUCUUAAGGUAGCCAAAUGCCUCGUCAUCUAAUUAGUGACGCGCAUGAAUGGAUUAACGACGGACGUGUUUUCGUUGCGCUCGUGUACAGAUUGCGAAGAACUUUGUUUUCCGUGUUUGGAAAGUAAUAAAAUCGGUGAAUUAGUGCUCCGCGAAAGUCGUGUGCUAAUUUUCGUGUGUUAUAAACAAGCGGUUUGGAAGUAAUUAGCGAUUAAUUAUUGCAAAUUUUCCAUUCAGCACGUGCUGCGAGGCGAGCUUACGAGUAAGUUUUUCGAGUAAGCUUUUUGAUCAGCUGUCGCAAAGCUUUUGGUGUCAGUCACUGCUAAGGUUUGUGUCUAGGGAGAGCUUUAGUGCUACCAGACUCUACCGAUAGGUGGAGCUCGAGUUCCAAAGCAACUACCUUUUGUCAGCGAGCAAACGAGUUGCUGGCGUCGACGGUAGGUGGAGCCACCAUCGUAGUUAUGCCGAUGGAGAGCGACAGUAGCGCGAGUGCCUUGAGCGGAAGUAGUGCCUCGAGGAAGUCUAAACGAGGCAGGCGCAGAAGCCACCUGGCAUCUAAGAGCUCGGCGCCAACGCAGCCGAAAUUGGUUGCCCUGUCAGCGAAUGGAGUGCCAGAACCCGUUGGGGUACUGGAGGAGCCGUUUUCGUCGCUGGAGGACGCCCGGGCGGCUACGGCAAACGCUGCCAUCGAUGCUGCCCCUCCCCACGCUGCUGCCACCGCUGUUGAUCCUACUGCUGCCCCUGCUGCUGCCCCUGCUGCCGACCACACUGCUGUCUCCGCCGUUUCCACUGCUGCUAAAAUUGU
rnacentral:rRNA from 1 species